UUUUCGUUGCUUUGAUCAUAUUCUUACAAUUGUUGCUGGACUUAGUGUCAGGGAUCAUUUUCUUUUGCCUCAAGAGAACAAAGACCAAGCUAGUACAACAAAAUCAAUAUUUUCUGCAAAGGAUUACAAUGAUCAUAUGGCACUUGUGUGUGAAUAUGAAGGAUGGAAAGAAGCUGAAAGAGAAGGAUAUGCUUAUAAAUAUUGCUGGAGGAAUUUCCUUUAUGCUCAAACACUUCAAGCUAUACAUUCUUUAAGGAAUCGUUUAUCCAUAUUUUAAAAGAUGCUCAAUUACUUGAGACUAAAUCGGGGAUUAGCAACAGAUUAAGUCAUAAUCAAUCAUCGGUUAGCGCCAUUAUAUGCUCAGGCCUUUUUCCUGGCAUUGCAUCUGUAGUGCAUAGGGAGACAUCAAUGUCCUUCAAAACUAUAGAUGAUGUCCAAGUCUUACUCUAUGCAGUAUGUAUUAAAGAAAUAGCAAUGCACUUUCAUUCAUUUGUUUCAUAUUUUUUUCACAUUUCUCUAAUGAUAUUUUUCCUUGAGUCAUA